rnacentral:ncRNA from 1 species
GAUAACAGCGUAAUAAUUUUGGAGAGAUCAUAUUAAUAAAAUUGAUUGCGACCUCGAUGUUGAAUUAAGAUAAAAAUUAAGUGUAGAAGUUUAAUAUUUAAGUCUGUUCGACUUUUAAAAUCUUACAUGAUUUGAGUUUAGAUCG